GACACUCACAUCGACGGGCUGAGCAGUCUCUCAGCAUCCGCCGGAAUCAGACCCUUAUUUUGAAGGUAGGUUACAGUGAAUAUUCUAAUCAACAUGUUUUAAUUCAAGCGCCUCAAAUCAUGCGUCUGACUAAGAGGAACAGCAAGGAUUUUGUUGGAUUUACCCACAGCAAGAGAUAAUGGAGGAAGAUUGUCAGCUGGCAAUAGCAGCUAUAUGCUGCUAGUAUAACAUCACACUGCGCUAAACACUAGCUUGUGUGAAAUGUAGUCAAAAACAUUUCUCCUUCCUUUCUUCCUUCCCAUAUUUUUCUGCCUGAAUAGUGUAAAGCAGGGCUGCCCAUCUCUGGACCUUCGGAUCACAGCCUUUAUCUGCAGUAGAUGCUAGUUUGCAGAGUUGCAAGCGGGAAAGGAGGUAGCGCUGAGGUGGAUUAGCAUCUUUAUCCAGAUCAGUUUUAGGGCCAUUUCAGCAGUUUUUCCUGCUGUUCCCAUCCUGUUUGGAAUGACAGCCCGUUAAUAGCUAGGCUUCAGUGGUUUAACAUAUUACUUCUCCAUAUUGUAAGUUAUAUUAGCAAGUUAUACUGGCAAGUACGUUAAUGGAUAUUUUACAAUUAGUGAUAGCUUACACAUUGUCAAGCCAGUGUUGAGGAAUUAGCCGUGUCAGACAGCAAAUAUUGUUUCUUCCACUGCCACCUUCCUCCCUCCAGCCUUCCAAUGAGAGAAGCUGUCGAAGAAAUGAGAGGGAUGUUGAGAGGCUACAAUAGGAGUAAGGGGGACUGAACUGCUAUGUUGCACUUGCUGGAAUUAGGACAGACCUUCCCAGAAGCAGCUGAAAAAUACUCUCAGACCAGGUCCCUUGCCCCCAUCUCCCUCUGUGGAUAUGCCAAAGGGAGGAGCUCUCUUUGUAAAGAUCACCUGAGUUCCUGAGCUUCUCAUUUGUUAUUUCUAUCUCAUGGUGUAGUGAGUACUUUCCCUUUGAAUUGCUUCUCUUUGGAGCUGGAGGUGUUGAGUUGGAAGUGACUGUCCUGGACAGUGUAAUCUUCUGAGCAGCUGGAUGUAGUUAGAAGGAUCCAAAUGCUGGAAUUUGCUACACCCCUAUCUGGGAUGCCUUUGCCUCUCCAUUGGGUGGGGGAAGGUGGCUUAAGACAGCAUUAGAGUGAACUGUAUCAUGGCAAUAAGCAUAAUGCUUUCUGCUUUUCAGGUGCUCCCCAUCUGAAUGGCUUCAGCAUCUGGUUGUGUACUGUGUUUAUGCUUCCCCUGCCCUUCUGAAUCCAUAAUUGUAAAGUUUAUGCACCCUGGAGCUCACAGAGGUGGUGAUAGAGCCAAAGAGUUGCAGCUCAGCACAAUUAGUAGAAUCAAGAGGCUCUGAGUUACCUGGGUGCGAAGUGGUUAAUUUCUUAAAAGCAACACCUUCAUCUGGCAUCAUGACGUGAAGUAUACCCUCUCUCUACCUUUGCUGUUAACACACAACACAGCAUUCCUCCAAAUAUUUCAGAACAAACAAAACUGGAAUUGGCCUAUGUGUCUCAUGAGAAAACCACUAAAAGAUAUACUUAUGUGUUAGAGAGGUGCCCGAAUGACUUAGAGGACAGCUAGCAGGUGAUUGUUGUUCAGGAGCUGAUGUAUCGUAUCCAGUUCUUUUUUUUAUGUUGGUUAAUUUGGUUACACUAUUGUAUCCAUCUGUUGGGGGCUUUUUUCUUAUACUUUGAGUAUACAUUCCUCAGGGCAGGGGCCAGCUUUCUUUGUGUCUUGAUAGAGACUGUACUAAAAGUUACUGCUGUUGCAAUAAAAUAUUUUCAUCUCUGG